UACAGGGGGGGGGGGGGGGGGCAAGCGUUUGUUUCGGGAAUUACUGGGGCGUAAAGGGGUUUCGUAGGUGGGUCACUUUAAGUCAGACGUGAAAUCCCUCAGCUUAACUGGGGAACUGCGUCUGAGACUGGCGAGCUUUGAGGGGCAGGGAGAGGAACGCGGAAUUCCAGGUGUAGCGGUGAAAUGCGUAGAGAUGUGGAGGAACACCGAUGGCGAAGGCAGCCCCCUGGGCUAACACUGACGCUCAUGCACGAAAGCGUGGGGAGCAACAGGAUUAG
rnacentral:rRNA from 1 species